rnacentral:rRNA from 1 species
GACGAACGCUGGCGGCGUGCUUAACACAUGCAAGUCGAACGGAAGGGCCCUGCUUUUGUGGGGUGCUCGAGUGGCGAACGGGUGAGUAACACGUGAGUAACCUGCCCUUGACUUUGGGAUAACUUCAGGAAGCUGGGGCUAAUACCGGAUAGGAGCUCCUGCUGCAUGGUGGGGGUUGGAAAGUUUCGGCGGUUGGGGAUGGACUCGCGGCUUAUCAGCUUGUUGGUGGGGUAGUGGCUUACCAAGGCUUUGACGGGUAGCCGGCCUGAGAGGGUGAACGGCCACAUUGGGACUGAGAUACGGACCAGACUCCUACGGGAGGCAGCAGUGGGGAAUAUUGCACAAUGGGCGGAAGCCUGAGGCAGCAACGCCGCGUGCGGGAUGACGGCCUUCGGGUUGUAAACCGCUUUCGCCUGUGACGAAGCGUGAGUGACGGUAAUGGGUAAAGAAGCACCGGCUAACUACGUG